UACGGGGGGGGUAAGCGUUGUUCGGAAUUAUUGGGCGUAAAGAGCUCGUAGGCGGUGUGUCGCGUCGGCCGUGAAAACUCACAGCUCAACUGUGGGCGUGCGGGCGAUACGGGCAGACUGGAGUACUGCAGGGGAGACUGGAAUUCCUGGUGUAGCGGUGGAAUGCGCAGAUAUCAGGAGGAACACCGGUGGCGAAGGCGGGUCUCUGGGCAGUAACUGACGCUGAGGAGCGAAAGCCGUGGGGAGCGAACAGG
rnacentral:rRNA from 1 species